AUGUCUCAGUAUGAGUGUGUAAAAAAAUGCAAGCCACGUGAAAACAACAGGUCGGGAGAUGAGAGUUCAGCCAUGACAAGUGCAAGACAAAGGGUCCCAGUCCAAUGUGAAGACACUAUUUCAUCUCAGUGUCUGGAUGACCAGUUCGGGUUGGAUGCUGAAGUGGUUUAUGAUGACGAAUCCUUUCCCUUACGGAGGUGCACUCCAUUUGAGGCUGGAUCACAUCAUGGGGGACACGUUCCUGAGCAGAAUCAGAAUACUGCUGCUGGUCAAGUGCAGGAGUCAUUUGCUGUGAAUGGACAAAUAAGUGCAAAUGCAGGCUUCUCCACAACCACAGAUGCUUUGGGGGCUGACAGCGUAACAUUUCCAGAUGGGGUGUCUCCUGGAUUCAUAGCACCUGAUGGCAUGGGAGGCAACAGCAAUGAACUGAUGAACAGUGAUGAACAUUAUGAAGAAAAGCAAGUACAAAAGGAAAAGAAGAAAGGAAAGAAGAAAAAAGUAAGAAGAGAGGGGAGAACAGCCCCACCAUUAAAGAGGAAUAGCAUCUAGUCGGCAUCUGAUUAUUGACUUAUGAAAUGUGAUUUUUUUUCAUAAGAUAAAUAACACUUGUCUUCUGUUUAUGUAGCUCAGAGAUAGGCAAUGUCAGUCCUGAAGUGCCGCUGUCCUACAUAGUUUAGCUCUAACCCUAAUCAAACACACAUGAACAAGCCAAUCAAGGUCUUCGGGAUUACUAAGGAAACGGACAAGUGAGUUUUUUUUUUCAGGGUUGGAGCUAAACUGCAGGACAUCGGCUCUCCUGGACUGACAUUGCCUGUAGAGCAUAUACUCUAUUUCUGUAAGCUUAAAGGGACAGUUUCCCCAAAAAUGAAAAUUCUUUAAUUAAAUACUCACCGUCAAGCCAUUCCAAAUUCAAUCAUCUCUAGAACACAAAUUAAUAUAAUUUAGAUUUAGAUUUUUCUCUGAAACUCGAUUUACAGCAAUGGUAACAGUCAAGGCACAGAAAGGUGUAGUAAGAACUAGGGGUGUAACGGUACGCAAAAAUCACGGGUUCGGUAUGUACCUGGGAUUUAAAGUCACGGUUCAGUUCAUUUUCGGUACAGUAAGGGAAAGAAAUGCAAACAUUAAACUGCAGGUUGUUUAUUACUAUAAACUUUUUUUUUUUAAUUUGUUUACACUUUUUUUUAAUACUUUUUAAUAAAAUAUAUAUAAAAUAAAAAAGAAUAGGAAAUAAAAUACUGCUGCAAAGUUCUCCACUAAAUAAAAUACUCUCAGUCUCAAACCAAUAUCAUAUAAUAAAAUAUAAUGAAAAAUAAAAAACUAUGAUUACAGAGCAGCAUUACCAAUCCAAGCUUGUAGGCAUCAACGGUUUCCAUUUUUAGACCUCCUCAGAUUUCGUUAUUGCAUUGGACCGAUCGGAAUUAAGAGCAAAGGUCUGUUGAAUUACAAUUGUUUUUUUUCCUAGCUGUAGUGAUGUUUACACUCGCGUGAUGCCUUUUGAAAACCUUAGGCUGGUGACACACUGGCAUAUUGCAUCUGUCAAACAUAGUCUAUUUUGCCGUCAAUAUUGUUGACGGUGUCCUUUAUCAGUAGGCUUUAUAUUUAUGAUCGACAUGAAGCAUAGAUAUUGCUAUCGUGAAGACAAGAUCCUGGUCUGUCGGCGGUCUCCCUCUAUGUCACCUGUAGCAGCAGCAGCGCGCCAGCGCCGCGUCAGGCACGAUUCUGGGUGGGCACGAUUCAGGGCGGGAUUUGCGCUGAACGCGGAGACUUCCGCCACUUAAUAUGUUCGUUUGGAAACACAAAAAUUUACCUAUGUUCCGCAAUCAAAAUAUUGCAUUCGGUCAUUCAGUACAUACGUUCACCGUACCGAAAGCCCUGUACCGAAAUGGUCUGGUACGAAUACACGUACCGUUACACCCCUAGUAAGAACAUCGUUAAAAUAGUCAAUGUGUUAUCAGUGGUUCAACCGUAAUUUUACUAAGCUACGAGAAUACUUUCUGCAUAGACUAAUCAACAAUUCUUCCCCUUCGUGUGACCCUAGGCUCCAUUAUAUAGAGUAAAACAGUGUACAUAUCUUUCUGUGCCUGGGAACAUUUCAGUUACAUUGCUGUUUAUGAAGGGUUGGAAAGCUCUCGGAUUUCAUCAAAAAUUUCUUAAUUUGUGUUCCGAAGAUGAACGAAGCUCUUACAGGUUUGGAUCGACAUGUAGGUGAGUAAAUAAUGACAGAAUUUUCACUUUUGGGUGAUCUAUCCCUAUAAAUAAUCCAUGAAAUCUUUAUAAACUUCUAUAACUCUAACUCUCUGUACUGCUUUAUAAACCUCUUUAUAAACUAUAACUCUAACUUUCUGUACUUUGUACUCUUAAAAUAAAUAUUUCUUACAAAAUGACAAUACAAGGUGUCAUUCAUUAUUGUAAAUGUAAAAGAUUUAUUUUCAAUACUGGUGCUAGCCUUCGAAAAUAAAGUCCACUAUUAGUACCAGCUUGUUAUCUUUACAGAAAAUGCGCUCUGUUUAAAAGUCAGUCAUCUGAUUGUAGUAGCAUAACAAAUUCGCGUUUAUGAAUUACAGAGAAGGGGAGCAAGCAAAAUAAAAAUAAUGACAUAGGUGGUCUCAUUGUGCCAUCGCGUGCUAUUACAAACUUUAUAAGUCCCACUUGUGAUUAUGAGCUCUGCAAAUUCAAACAGUUAACUACAUAUUGGUUUCAUAUGCAACUUUUAGAUACAACAUUCCUAUUUACAAUGAUACAUACUUUUGUCUGGAGCUGACAUUCACGCAUGAAGCAUUGGUAUUGAUCCCUAAACAUAUAGGGGACUUUACUGAUUUUUUUUUUUUUUUUCAAAUUUUUUCUUCAAAAAUGAAAUUCAACAAUUCACAGUGUCCUCGAAGCUCAGAUGGAGGGAGUCUAUGAAGACUCCUAUGUUCAUUGGUGCAUCCCAAAACACAACACUUCUAAUGCCUCUUUGGCACUGACAUUGUAGAUUGAGACAUGAGGUUGUGCCACACAGCAGUGAAUACACAUUUAUGCUGCAGUGCCGGGGGAGCAUAUGGGGGUCCGAUGCCUUGCUCAAGGGCACCUAAGUCAAGGUAUUGCCGGCCCGAGAUUCAAAGCCACAACCCUAGGGUUAGGAGUCAAACUCUCUAACCACUAGGCCAUAACUUUCCCUUGAACUGUGUUCAACUGUGUUCAAACACCUUAUAAAAGUGAUUUUUGCUUAAUAGGUCCCCCUUUAAAUCACACCUGAUAAAUUUCUGUCCCUCCAAUGAAUGUCCAGGUAACCAAAACAUAAAAAUAUCCAAAAAGGUUAUAAAGGUGUCAUAAAAUGAAACCAUAUGAAUCAGGCGGUUUAAAUCUAGUGAAAAUGAAUAAUCGCUUUAUAUGACGAACAGAUUUAAUUUAGGAUUUUAUUCCUAUAUACUCAGUGUUGUAAAAUACUUGAGUAAUAUUACUUGUAUACUUCACUUAAGUAUUAUUUUGGGGGAUUUGUACUUCAUUCAAGUAUGAUUUAAACUGGUUACUUGUACUAUCACUCGAUUAAUGACCUCUAGUGGUCAGGAGAGAAAACAAAUAAGUCUACUAUAGAUCAAGCAUUACAAGUUUCUGCAAACACAUUUGCAGUCCUACAAUAUGUUUUGCUUAAGACCACAUGCAUUGGCUUCUUAACAGUUUUUCCAAACAUCAGCUGUCACAAUGUUUUUGGUUUGUGUUGGAUUUGAAGAGAUUGGUUUUUGCUCCAAAUGAUGUACACCUCUGCUGUGAGGACAUAACUGAAGAUAUGAAGACAUUUUUGGUGUACUACCAGAAUUGCGCAUGGAUUUUAAAUAGUUUAAAUUCCAGAAAAGUUGUUUCCCCCCCAAAAAAACAGAAGUGAUAAUUUGGCUGAUAUGUGGAAAUGUUGUGCACAAGAUCUCUUAAGUUUGAGAAACCUGAUUUCAGAAGCUGUUUGGCAUUCAAAUCAAAGUGAAACUAAAUAAAAGAACAAAGAUAGUAAAUCUCACUCCAAGAUACACUAAUUAAAGUUUUGAAAACAUUAUUUAAUUUUUAUAGAUCUGUAUUUUCAGAAAUGAUACAAGAAUAUCUGUAAUAGAGAAGAAAUAUCUGUAGUAAAUGAGCAAAGAUCUGCACGGAGUGUGUUACAGAUAAUAACAGUUCAGCUGUAAGGACUUCAUAACCAAAACCAUAAAUGCAAAACAUUUUUUCCCAGAGCAACAAACAGGAACUGUAAGAGUCCCAGCCUUUUUAUUUGCAUCAGCUUCAGUUAAAACCAUUUGAUGUUUGCAGAAGUGACAGACAAACGGCUGAAGGAGGACUGGGAAUAUUUCAAGCAGCACUAUCUAUUUCGCGCUGGUCGAUAUAAAGAGUUAAAUUUAAAGCUGGCUGACAGAGUACAUAUUUUUUCUUGUAUGUCAGAAAGGAUGUGUCCAUAAUUUCGACAUAAAGGGAGGAACCGAGAAGACCAGCACAGAACAAACAACUAUCAUGAAUGGACAUCAUUUAAGUGAACUUCAUAAAAGCGAGUGUGCUUUUUACAAGUUCACAAGAGAAAAACUAAUUCUGUUAUGUACAGGUAAACUAAACUUUUAAACAGAAAUGGAAGACUGUCCAGAUCCAGCUACAGAAGGAGAACUUCUUGAAAUACGGCGUGACACAGAAG
rnacentral:lncRNA from 1 species